rnacentral:rRNA from 1 species
CUGCGGAGGGUCAUUACACAAAUAUGAAGGCGGGCUGGAACCUCUCGGGGUUACAGCCUUGCUGAAUUAUUCACCCUUGUCUUUUGCGUACUUCUUGUUUCCUUGGUGGGUUCGCCCACCACUAGGACAAACAUAAACCUUUUGUAAUUGCAAUCAGCGUCAGUAACAAAUUAAUAAUUACAACUUUCAACAACGGAUCUCUUGGUUCUGGCAUCGAUGAAGAACGCAGCGAAAUGCGAUAAGUAGUGUGAAUUGCAGAAUUCAGUGAAUCAUCGAAUCUUUGAACGCACAUUGCGCCCUUUGGUAUUCCAAAGGGCAUGCCUGUUCGAGCGUCAUUUGUACCCUCAAGCUUUGCUUGGUGUUGGGCGUCUUGUCUCUAGCUUUGCUGGAGACUCGCCUUAAAGUAAUUGGCAGCCGGCCUACUGGUUUCGGAGCGCAGCACAAGUCGCACUCUCUAUCAGCAAAGGUCUAGCAUCCAUUAAGCCUUUUUUUCAACUUUUGACCUCGGAUCAGGUAGGGAUACCCGCUGAACUUAAGCAUAUCAAUAAGCGGAGGAAAAGAAACCAACAGGGAUUGCCCUAGUAACGGCGAGUGAAGCGGCAACAGCUCAAAUUUGAAAUCUGGCUCUUUUAGAGUCCGAGUUGUAAUUUGCAGAGGGCGCUUUGGCUUUGGCAGCGGUCCAAGUUCCUUGGAACAGGACGUCACAGAGGGUGAGAAUCCCGUACGUGGUCGCUGGCUAUUGCCGUG